CACUAUGAGAAAGAAAAAAAGAGAAGGCGAAUGAGAAUUAAUUCUUUCCCAGUUCAGCAUGGGCUUGUCCUGCUGAGCUCCAGCAGGCUGGAUACCCUGCCUGCCACACGAGUCUCACUCAGAGGAUGUGUUUCUUCACAGCACAUGGACCCUGUGCACCUACCAUGGGGUUAGCAUGUUGAGCCAAAUUCCAAGGGGACUCUGAGGGAUAAAUGUGCAAGAGUGAGAUUUGUCCCUGCCUCUGAUCAACCGUAUGGAAGUAAUUCUUAGGAUCUUUGUAAGCCUGCACCUUAGAAACCAAGCACCAUGGGAAUCAACUGUGGAUUACUAAAAUCAAAAACAACGUUCUGAUAAGCAAAACACACUUGCAGUUUGUCAUUCCUUGAUCAUAUUGACAGAUUCCUAAGCUGGCAGGACAAACGCCUGGCAGACCUCACGGAGAAGGCAGAUCCAAAGUGCUGCUUCUCCAACACGGUACUUCACAUCUUGAUUAAUUCCUUUUGCAGG